GCCUUUGAAAGAUGGUUUCGGCUAUCGCUUACAGAUGGGCCCGCGGUGCAUUAGCUAGUUGGUAGGGUAAUGGCCUACCAAGGCAACGAUGCAUAGCCGACCUGAGAGGGUGAUCGGCCACACUGGGACUGAGACACGGCCCAGACUCCUACGGGAGGCAGCAGUAGGGAAUCUUCCGCAAUGGACGAAAGUCUGACGGAGCAACGCCGCGUGUAUGAAGAAGGUUUUCGGAUCGUAAAGUACUGUUGUUAGAGAAGAACAAGGAUAAGAGUAACUGCUUGUCCCUUGACGGUAUCUAACCAGAAAGCCACGGCUAACUACGUGCCAGCAGCCGCGGUAAUACGUAGGUGGCAAGCGUUGUCCGGAUUUAUUGGGCGUAAAGCGCGCGCAGGCGGUCUUUUAAGUCUGAUGUGAAAGCCCCCGGCUUAACCGGGGAGGGUCAUUGGAAACUGGAAGACUGGAGUGCAGAAGAGGAGAGUGGAAUUCCACGUGUAGCGGUGAAAUGCGUAGAUAUGUGGAGGAACACCAGUGGCGAAGGCGACUCUCUGGUCUGUAACUGACGCUG
rnacentral:rRNA from 2 species